UUAGGGGUAGCCUAGUGGACAUGGCAUCUGCCCGGUAAGCGGAACAGUGUGGGUUCGAUUCCCAUCCCUGGAC
rnacentral:tRNA from 1 species